rnacentral:tRNA from 1 species
CGGCCGGUCGGCCGGUUCUACAGCCGCUUCGUCUCGGCCAUGAAGUUCGUGCUGCCGGCGGCGGCGCUGGCGAUGGUGGCGCUGCUGGCCGCC